AUUGAACGCUAGCGGGAUGCCUUACACAUGCAAGUCGAACGGCAGCACGGACUUCGGUCUGGUGGCGAGUGGCGAACGGGUGAGUAAUGUAUCGGAACGUGCCCAGUAGCGGGGGAUAACUACUCGAAAGAGUAGCUAAUACCGCAUACGCCCUACGGGGGAAAGGGGGGGAUCGCAAGACCUCUCACUAUUGGAGCGGCCGAUAUCGGAUUAGCUAGUUGGUGGGGUAAAGGCCCACCAAGGCGACGAUCCGUAGCUGGUUUGAGAGGACGACACGCCACACUGGGACUGCGACACGGCCCAGACUCCUACGGGAGGCAGCAGUGGGGAAUUUUGGACAAUGGGGGCAACCCUGAUUCAGCCAUCCCGCGUGUGCGAUGAAGGCCUUCGGGUUGUAAAGCACUUUUGGCAGGAAAGAAAUCGCAUGGGUUAAUACCCUGUGUGGAUGACGGUACCUGCAGAAUAAGCACCGGCUAACUACGUGCCAGCAGCCGCCGUAA
rnacentral:rRNA from 1 species